ensembl:lncRNA
GCUGUCGCUGUUAUUGAGGAAGAGAGGCAGCUGAAGUUGACAGUCGAGUGUGACAGUAGAAACACUCACAGUCUUGCUUUCUACGCUCCUGUAACUUUAAGGCAAGGGUUUGACCCGUGCUGAAGACCCACUAGAAGGUUUGGAAUGGUGUGACUUAUCAUCAAUGCCUGCAGGUACGCCCUGAAGAAGAUCCGGGCUGCCGUCCGCAGUGAGGAGCAGCCAAAGGCCUCCAGCAGUGCAGAACGUAGCAAGGUCAAAGAUCAUUUAGGUCCGGCCAGUCCGACCGAACUCCAAAGCCUGCAGCUUGUGUGUCCAGUUUCCCGCUGCUUUUCCUCCCAAAGCCUAAGAAGCUGUCCUGGCCUGCUUUGGCCAGAGGGACCUUCCUCUUCCUGAGGUCCAGCAUGAGGGAAGCUCUGGCAAGCUCUCUGACAGUAGCGUCAUCAUUGUUGAGCAUGCUGAGGAGGUGUGUCAGCCUGGUAGCAGUGUAUACCCAUUCCACGUUUGGGACACCCAGCCCCCCCUCUUUACGUGAGAGGAAGAUGAGGUCCCGAGUGGAGGAAGGGGGGCGAUGAGGACGGCGGAGAUGGGCGUGGCUUCAUGUCGGUCCCAUCCUUAGAGGUGGCGGAGCAGGACGAGAUGACGCAGUGCGGCUCCUGAGGUUAAAGGUUGGGGAGGCCAAUCCAUGAGAAGACACACACACACACACACACAGAUACAUACACCCACACGGACACACUGACACGCGCACGCACACACAAACACAUACACCGACACACACAACGACACACACACACACUUAAACAACGGCCUAUUUCUACCACUUUCACCUACACUAGAAACUCUUCACAGAAGGAUGAGAAUUAACAAAAUGCACGCUGACGACACCACCACCCAUCCACCUCUACCUGAUCAGCCUUUGUCCCUCUGGGAUCAGCGGGAUUCACUUCCUGAACAGUUCCCCCACAAUACUCGCUCUCUUCCUCUUGAGGCUCUCACACACACACAUACUGGGAUUUCAUUAGGGUUUCAAACUGAGGCUGUUAACACAAAAGCCUCUUUGUUCGUCAGACAUUUGAGAUAUAUAUUAAGGUCUGCACACACAGACACACACACACACACACACACACACACACACACACACACACACACACACACACACACACACAAACCCAAUCAAAGGAACACACUGAUACAAACAUUAAGUCUUCCACUUUAAGUCAUCGGCCUCUUCGGAGACGGACUGCUCUCCCCCACCGCCACCAGCUCCUCCCCCACCACCAGAAGCUCCUCCCCCAACACCCAGAGCUCCUCCUCCAUCGGAAGCUCCGCCCCCCCCCACCAUCCACCUCAAGCCGCCAGUGACAGAAUUCAUGAAAGCCCGAUCGCAAAGUCCGCACUGCGGGGCCCGGUCGGGCUGGAUGGCCUGAAGGCGUCUGCCGCUGGCUCAGAGCCGCAGUCUGGAGGUUCACCUCGUCUGCUUCAGUCUUACUGUGUUGUCUCAUUGUAUCCACGAGGAGGACAAUGUUCCCCAAGUGGUGUACAAAUCUGGAAGAUGAUCAUUAAUGAAUGGAUAUUCAGACAUCUAUACGUAUUAAAUGAAAUUAAUGAAUUAAUGGGAAAAACUUUGAUUCAUGUUUUUCUGUCAUUAUUUACGAACAUAUACACUUCUGUACUUGAUGCAUCAAUUUGAAAGAUUCAAUGAUAAACAAUGAACAUUGUCGUUUUUAUAUUUUCUGUAUUAUUAAGACAUCUGAGAAAUGAUCUCAUGUGAGCCUAAGCUCCUUGAACAAGCCAAUUAUGGUACUGUCACGAUCCUACUGUUGGGUAAGGUUAAGCUGGUUGGUAACUGGUGGUCAUGGUAACGGUGGGAGUGGCUCCCUUAAUUAGUUGAUUGGGGUCACCUGGGGGAUCCAAGAUGGUGGAUAUAUACAGCAUGGUGGCCAGUGGUUACAGGCCCCGGCAGGAUAAGACUUUGUAAAGCCAUUCACCCAGAAGCCAGCACACACCAGAGCUAAGGAGUCCAACGGGGGAACGUGACCGCCCCUUCACCAUCUUUGUUUGUCAAGUGUUUGUCUAAACAUGUAAACCAUAACUGAACGAGACAGCUACCGUUCACCACAACGCUUGGGCUAUCUCCAUAGCAAGAGAGAGAAGGACCAGCGCUCACCAGGAACCCAGGUGAGUCACUACACAUGUGCCCCGGAAGCUAGUUGCCUACCAGCUGUGGUUAUACUACGUAUGUGUCUCGACUCCUGCCUAGACAGAGAGCCGGUUUUCCCUAGAUACCAGUGGGGUCGUGACAUAAUAAUGUCACGAUCCUACUGUCGGGUAAGGUUAAGCUGGUUGGUAACUGGUGGUCAUGGUAACGGUGGGAGUGGCUCCCUUGAUUGGUUGAUUGGGGUCACCUGGGGGAUCCAAGAUGGUGGAUAUAUACAGCAUGGUGGCCAGUGGUUACAGGCCCAGCAGGAUAAGACUCUGUAAAGCUAUUCACCCAUAUGCCAGGACACACCAGAACUAAGGAUUACAACGGGGGAACGUGACCGCCCCUUCACCAUCUUUGUUUGCCAAGUGUUUGUCUAAACAUGUAAACCAUAACUGAACGAGACAGCUACCGUUCACCUCAACGCUUGGGCUAUCCCCAUAACAAGAGAGAGAAGGACCAGCGCUCACCAGGAACCCAGGUGAGUCACUACACACGUGCCCCGGAAGCUAGUUGCCUACCAGCUGUGGUUAUACUACGUAUGUGUCUCGACUCCUCCCUAGACAGAGCCGGUUUUCUCUAGAUACCAGUUGGGUCGUGACAGUACCCUCUCUCUCUAUAUGUACAUCUUCAAUUGACAGAUAACAAGAACAAUUUCCGUCUCAUCCUCCACAUCAUCACACCGCCUGUCUUCCGAGAGAAGAGAAGAUAAGACAUAGAGCCCAAUCUCUUCACAGAAGGGCGAGCAUUAACAAAAUGUUCUUCUGCUGCAGCUUCUGGGAACUCAGAAUUGAGACUUUGCACCUAAGUCUGUGUGUGUGUGUGUGUGUGUGUGUGUGUGUGUGUGUGUGUGUGUGUGUGUGUGUGUGUGUGUGUGUGUGUGUGUGUGUGUUUGUGUGUUCAUUUGCGUGGGAAAAAAAAAUAAAACUCCUUUCACAAUUUAGCAUGUGUUAUGAAAUUGCAGCCUGCACAACCAAACAACUUCAAGUCUAGAAUCAAACCGGAUUACUUGGAGAUGACUUGCCCUAAAGGGUAACCCUAACCCUAAUCCAUGUUCUAAAUCUAAACUGAAGCCUCAUUCUAAACUAAAGCCACAUCCUUAACUAAAAGCACGUUCUAAGUUCAAGCCACGUCCUAAAGACACUUUCGAAACUAAAGCAACAUGCUAAAAUAAAGCCUUUUUCUAAAGCCACAUUCGACAGUUAAAGCCUCAUUCUAAACUAAAGCCUCAUUCUAAAUUAAAGCCAUGUUCUAAAGCCACUAAAGCAUUCUAAAGCAUCAUUUAAAACUAAAGCAACGUUCUAAAAUCACAUCCUAUACUUAAGCCUGAUCUGAUCUAAAGCCCCAUUGUAGCACAUUCUAAUUUCACAUUCUUUAGUAGAGACAUGUUCUCAUAUAAAGUCACAUUGUAAUUUAUUCUAAAAUCGAAGUUCUAAUCUGAAGCCACAUUCUGGACACAGUCUAAACUAAGCUACGCUCUAAAGAAUGCCACGUUCUGGCAUAUUCUAAACUCAUAUUCUAAAGCCACGUUCUGAAAUAAAGCUGCAUUGUACACUAAAGCAUGUUCUAAUCUUAAGCCACAUUGUAAACUAGAGCAUCUUCUACACUUAAGCUGCAUUCUAAACUAAAACCAGGUUCUAACUUAAGCCACAUUCUAAACUAAAGCCAGGUUCUGAAAUGCGUUCUGACAACAUUUCCAGCGAUAAGUGUGCAUUUAAUUAGAUAUUGUCAAACUGCGACUUCUGCCACCUUCUGAACCCUUGCCUGUCUGACUACCAGCCUACUGCUAAACCCGCGUCUGUCUGACUACCAGCCUGUUGCUGACACUCGCCUGUCUGACUACCAGCCUGUUGCUG